rnacentral:rRNA from 1 species
UACAGAGGUCCCAAGCGUUGUUCGGAUUCACUGGGCGUAAAGGGUGCGUAGGCGGUCGGGUAAGUCUGAUGUAAAAUCUCACAGCUUAACUGUGAAACUGCAUUGGAUACUAUCCGGCUCGAGGAAUGGAGGGGAGACUGGAAUACUUGGUGUAGCAGUGAAAUGCGUAGAUAUCAAGUGGAACACCAGUGGCGAAGGCGAGUCUCUGGACAUUUCCUGACGCUGAGGCACGAAAGCCAGGGGAGCAAACGGG